UAGAGUUUGAUCCUGGCUCAGAUUGAACGCUGGCGGCAGGCCUAACACAUGCAAGUCGAGCGGUAACAGAAAGAAAGCUUGCUUUCUUUGCUGACGAGCGGCGGACGGGUGAGUAAUGCCUGGGAAUAUACCCUGAUGUGGGGGAUAACUAUUGGAAACGAUAGCUAAUACCGCAUAAUCUCUUCGGAGCAAAGAGGGGGACCUUCGGGCCUCUCGCGUCAGGAUUAGCCCAGGUGGGAUUAGCUAGUUGGUGGGGUAAUGGCUCACCAAGGCAACGAUCCCUAGCUGGUCUGAGAGGAUGAUCAGCCACACUGGAACUGAGACACGGUCCAGACUCCUACGGGAGGCAGCAGUGGGGAAUAUUGCACAAUGGGGGAAACCCUGAUGCAGCCAUGCCGCGUGUAUGAAGAAGGCCUUCGGGUUGUAAAGUACUUUCAGUUGUGAGGAAGGCAGUUAAGUUAAUAGCUUGGCUGUUUGACGUUAGCAACAGAAGUAGCACCGGCUAACUCCGUGCCAGCAGCCGCGGUAAUACGGAGGGUGCGAGCGUUAAUCGGAAUUACUGGGCGUAAAGCGCAUGCAGGCGGUCUGUUAAGCAAGAUGUGAAAGCCCGGGGCUCAACCUCGGAACAGCAUUUUGAACUGGCAGACUAGAGUCCUGUAGAGGGGGGUAGAAUUUCA
rnacentral:rRNA from 1 species